GGAGAGGUUUCUUUUGGAAUUCAGAUAGUAUACCUGUGGUAGUCUUAAAAUUACUGACAAAAACCAAAUCUUUGAGGAUCAUGAAUUUAAGGAGAUUAAAAAUAGGAAAUUAACUUUUCUCAAAGAUUACAUAAGAGCUAACAAAGAAUAGGAAAAAGCAUACAAUUGAAUAUGUAACUGAGGACAUCUUCUCCAAACCAAGUUAGGACACAGAUCUAAACAUAAGAAACAGGAGUACUAUAUACAUAUAAGUGUGUGUGUUUAAACUGACAUCUUGCAUAUUUUUGUAAAUACUAAAUAAAACUCAUAAUUAUUUUCAUUGAUUUUAAAGGGGAAAAG
rnacentral:lncRNA from 1 species